rnacentral:rRNA from 1 species
UACGUAGGGUGCGAGCGUUAAUCGGAAUUACUGGGCGUAAAGCGUGCGCAGGCGGUGAGUUGUGUCUGAUGUGAAAGCCCCGGGCUUAACCUGGGAAUGGCAUUGGAAACUGGCUCACUGGAGUGUGGCAGAGGGGGGUGGAAUUCCGCGUGUAGCAGUGAAAUGCGUAGAGAUGCGGAGGAACACCGAUGGCGAAGGCAGCCCCCUGGGCUGACACUGACGCUCAGGCACGAAAGCGUGGGGAGCAAACAGG